AGAGUUUGAUCCUGGCUCAGAACGAACGCUGGCGGCAGGCUUAACACAUGCAAGUCGAACGCGUGUAGCAAUACACGAGUGGCGCACGGGUGAGUAACACGUGGAUAUCUGCCUUUUGGUUCGGGAUAACCCUGGGAAACUAGGGCUAAUACCGAAUGGUUCCUACGGGAUAAAGAUUUAUCGCCAAAAGAUGAGUCCGCGUCCGAUUAGCUAGUUGGUGAGGUAACGGCUCACCAAGGCGACGAUCGGUAGCUGGUCUGAGAGGACGAUCAGCCACACUGGGACUGAGACACGGCCCAGACUCCUACGGGAGGCAGCAGUGGGGAAUAUUGGACAAUGGGGGCAACCCUGAUCCAGCCAUGCCGCGUGAGUGAUGAAGGCCUUCGGGUUGUAAA
rnacentral:rRNA from 1 species